rnacentral:rRNA from 1 species
AACGAACGCUGGCGGCAGGCCUAACACAUGCAAGUCGAACGCCCGUAGCAAUACGGGAGUGGCAGACGGGUGAGUAACGCGUGGGAACGUGCCCUUCGGUUCGGAAUAACUCAGGGAAACUUGAGCUAAUACCGGAUACGUCCGUAAGGAGAAAGAUUUAUCGCCGAAGGAUCGGCCCGCGUCGGAUUAGCUAGUUGGUGAGGUAACGGCCCACCAAGGCGACGAUCCGUAGCUGGUCUGAGAGGANGAUCAGCCACACUGGGACUGAGACACGGCCCAGACUCCUACGGGAGGCAGCAGUGGGGAAUAUUGGACAAUGGGCGAAAGCCUGAUCCAGCCAUGCCGCGUGAGUGAAGAAGGCC